UUCCAGACUCCUACGGGAGGCAGCAGUGGGGAAUAUUGCACAAUGGGGGAAACCCUGAUGCAGCAACGCCGCGUGAAGGAAGACGGUUUUCGGAUUGUAAACUUCUGUUCUUAGUGAAGAAGAAUGACGGUAGCUAAGGAGCAAGCCACGGCUAACUACGUGCCAGCAGCCGCGGUAAUACGGAGGAUGCGAGCGUUAUCCGGAUUUAUUGGGUUUAAAGGGUGCGUAGGCGGAUCGUUAAGUCAGUGGUAAAAUUGGGGGCCCCACCCCUUCCCCGCCAUUGAAACUGGCGCUCUUGAGUGGAAGAGAAGUAUGCGGAAUGCGUGGUGUAGCGGUGAAAUGCAUAGAUAUCACGCAGAACCCCGAUUGCGAAGGCAGCAUGCCGGCUUCCGACUGACGCUGAAGCACGAAAGCGUGGGGAUCGAACAGGAUUAGAUACCCUUGUA
rnacentral:rRNA from 1 species